AUUGAACGCUGGCGGCAUGCCUUACUCAUGCAAGUCGAACGGUAACAGGUCUUCGGAUGCUGACGAGUGGCGAACGGGUGAGUAAUACAUCGGAACGUGCCUAGUAGUGGGGGAUAACUACUCGAAAGAGUGGCUAAUACCGCAUGAGAUCUACGGAUGAAAGCAGGGGAUCGCAAGACCUUGUGCUACUAGAGCGGCCGGUGGCAGAUUAGGUAGUUGGUGGGAUAAAAGCUUACCAAGCCGACGAUCUGUAGCUGGUCUGAGAGGACGAUCAGCCACACUGGGACUGAGACACGGCCCAGACUCCUACGGGAGGCAGCAGUGGGGAAUUUUGGACAAUGGGCGAAAGCCUGAUCCAGCAAUGCCGCGUGCAGGAUGAAGGCCUUCGGGUUGUAAACUGCUUUUGUACGGAACGAAAAGCCCUGGGUUAAUACCCUGGGGUCAUGACGGUACCGUAAGAAUAAGCACCGGCUAACUACGUGCCAGCCGCCGCGGUAACAC
rnacentral:rRNA from 1 species